AGCGAACGCUGGCGGCAGGCCUAACACAUGCAAGUCGAACGAACCUUUCGGGGUUAGUGGCGGACGGGUGAGUAACACGUGGGAACGUGCCUUUAGGUUCGGAUUAACUCAGGGAAACUUGUGCUAAUACCGAAUGGGCCCUUCGGGGGAAAGAUCUAUCGCCUUUAGGGCGGCCCGUGUCUGAUUAGCUAGUUGGGUGAGGUAAUGGCUCACCAAGGCGACGAUCAGUAGCUGGUCUGAGAGGAUGAUCAGACACAUUGGGACUGGGACGCGGCCCAAACUCCUACGCGAUGCAGCAGAGGGGAAUCUUGCGCAAUGGGCGAAGGCCUGACGCAGCCAUGCCGGGUGAAUGAUGAAGGUCGUAGGAUUGUAAUAUUCUUUCACCGGGGACGAUAAUGACGGUACCCGGAGAAGAAGCCCCGGCUAACUUCGUG
rnacentral:rRNA from 1 species